rnacentral:rRNA from 1 species
ACGGAAGGCAGCAGUAGGGAAUCUUCGGCAAUGGGGGCAACCCUGACCGAGCAACGCCGCGUGAGUGAAGAAGGUUUUCGGGUCGUAAAGCUCUGUUGUAAGAGAAGAACGUGUGUGAGAGUGGAAAGUUCACACAGUGACGGUAACUUACCAGAAAGGGACGGCUAACUACGUGCCAGCAGCCGCGGUAAUACGUAGGUCCCGAGCGUUGUCCGGAUUUAUUGGGCGUAAAGCGAGCGCAGGCGGUGUAAUAAGUCUGAAGUUAAAGGCAGUGGCUUAACCAUUCUUCGCUGUGGAAACUGUUAGACUUGAGUGCAGAAGGGGAGAGUGGAAUUCCAUGUGUAGCGGUGAAAUGCGUAGAUAUAUGGAGGAACACCGGUUGCGAAAGCAGCCCUCUGGUCUGUAACUGACGCUGAGGCUCGAAAGCGUGGGGAGCAAACAGGAUUAGAUACCCUGGUA